rnacentral:rRNA from 1 species
CCUACGGGAGGCUGCAGUGGGGAAUAUUGGUCAAUGGGCGCAAGCCUGACCCAGCCACGCCGCGUGAAGGAAGAAGGCUUUCGGGUUGUAAACUUCUUUUCUCAGGGACGAAGAAAGUGACGGUACCUUCUGAAUCAGCCACGUCUAACUACGUGCAAUCAGCCGCGGUAAUACGUAUGUUGCAAUCGUUAUCCGGCUUUGUUGGGUGUAAAGGGCGUGUAGGCGGGAGCGCAAGUCAGAUGUGAAGACUCCGGGCUCAACCCUGGGCCUGCAUUUGAAACUGUGGUUCUUGAGUGCUGGAGAGGCAAGCGGAAUUCCGUGUGUAGCGGUGAAAUGCGUAGAUAUAAGGAGGAACACCAGUGGCGAAGGCGGAUUGCUGGACAGUAACUGACGCUGAGGCGCGAAAGCGUGGGGAGCAAACAGGAUUAGAUACCCUAGUAGUC